rnacentral:rRNA from 1 species
UGUUUCGGCUAGGGGGUCAUCCCGACUUACCAACCCGAUGCAAACUACGAAUACCGAAGAAUGUUAUCACGGGAGACACACGGCGGGUGCUAACGUCCGUCGUGAAGAGGGAAACAACCCAGACCGCCAGCUAAGGUCCCAAAGUCAUGGUUAAGUGGGAAACGAUGUGGGAAGGCACAGACAGCCAGGAUGUUGGCUUAGAAGCAGCCAUCAUUUAAAGAAAGCGUAAUAGCUCACUGGUCGAGUCGGCCUGCGCGGAAGAUGUAACGGGGCUAAACCAUGCACCGAAGCUGCGGCAGCGACACUAUGUGUUGUUGGGUAGGGGAGCGUUCUGUAAGCCUGCGAAGGUGUGCUGUGAGGCAUGCUGGAGGUAUCAGAAGUGCGAAUGCUGACAUAAGUAACGAUAAAGCGGGUGAAAAGCCCGCUCGCCGGAAGACCAAGGGUUCCUGUCCAACGUUAAUCGGGGCAGGGUG